CAGGCGAUCUCGCAGCUCAUUCCUUUGGUUGGUCAUCAGCUGCAGCUCUGUGGUCAUCCUCUCUAUCUCCUUCUUCACUUGUUUCUUGAUUCAGUAGUCUACGGGGACCACUGUCAGGGAGACGUGAAUAGAGGAGUUCUGCUGUACAGUCUGAGGACAUAAAGUCUUAGCCAGAAGUACUCAUCUCUCCAUGUGACUGGUGUCACACAGUCACUGCACCUAAAGAAAACUGCUGAGGGUGACGUGCAGUGAUGCCUGCCCACAUCUGGGGACACAUUAGUCCCUACUGACUCCAGGUGGGAUCCUGGGGUCCCCACAUUACACUACCGAGUGUGCUAAAGGUAAAAUCUAGGUGCGCCUAGCACAACAGCCUUGGCCUUGCCCGGUCUUGGCUUAGGGAACAGACAAACUAAUGCUCUGGAGUCAUGGACUAUCAGGAAUUAGGAUAAGCAUUGAGGUCCAUUUGCUUCCCAGAGGGUCCAGAUCCUCUGUCCCAUUACUGAAAGUCCCAGCUGAAGUCCACCUCCUCCAGGACCCUCCCCAUCUCCUGCCCAUCACUCACUGUGCCUACGCCAGGACCACUUAUGUGUUGCUGCUUUAUUUUGAGAAGUAACAUCAGCUUCUUUCUGUCUCUCUCUAGUCUCUGAAUGUUCUCCAUGUUCUCUUGCAAACAGAGACCUCAUUCUUGACAACAUUUCUAAUGAUAAACCAGAGAGUCACUGAAGUAAUGCCCUAAGGGCCGUUGGUGUUGCUACAACACUGGUGACAUCGUGGAAUGCCAUGAGCUCUCCAGGAUACAAUAGAAUUCCCAAGGAAGGGACUGCUGAUGUCAUGGAGAACAGCUUUGCCUCCCUGCUAAUUAUUACUCCCUGAAUGUACCAAAAUCCCAGGGUCCCAUUCCAGGAUCUUGUCUUCGAAUAUAGGGUAAGCCAUCCAGCAACCCCUCCUUCCAAAUCCAGAGUUUCCUAAGCUUGCAUGGAAGCCCUCUAGUAUUUCCCAUGUGGAGAACUGAGCUAGACUUUCUAAAUAUUGGUGAGUAAUGUCACAUUCCUUCCUCAAAGACCUCUUAGUCAUCAUGAGCAAUUAAAUACUACCGAGGAAGGAAUGCAUGUUGGCAUAUUUCACAGCCUACAGCUGGUGAAUAGUUCCCAUAAGUUCAGGUUGCUACAAAGCCCUGUGGCCAAAUGUUUACUGACAUUGUAGGGACCAACUUUUCCACCCACAUCCUGAUUCAUCACACAUGCACACCCGGAGGUCCCUCUGCACUAGGACUUCAUUAGGUCACUGACCCUGAAGGGUGACAUGCCUCAAUUGCUGCUAUGAUCAAGGAAUGUGAGAAAGGGGGUUAUUGUGAGAAUUAAAAGUAUCAACAAAGA